AGCCGGCCUACUGGUUUCGCAGCGCAGCACAUUUUUGCGCUUGCAAUCAGCAAAAGAGGACGGCAAUCCAUCAAGACUCCUUCUCACGUUUGACCUCGGAUCAGGUAGGGAUACCCGCUGAACUUAAGCAUAUCAAUAAGCGGAGGAAAAGAAACCAACAGGGAUUGCCCUAGUAACGGCGAGUGAAGCGGCAACAGCUCAAAUUUGAAAUCUGGCUCUUUCUGAGUCCGAGGCCUUACUUUGCAGAGGGCGCUUUGGCUUUGGCAGCGGUCCAAGUUCCUUGGAACAGGACGUCACAGAGGGGGAAAUUCCCGUACGUGGUCGCUAGCUAAUGCCGUGUAAAGCCCCUUCGACGAGUCGAGUUGUUUG
rnacentral:rRNA from 1 species